UACGUAGGGGGCAAGCGUUGUCCGGAUUCAUUGGGCGUAAAGAGCGUGUAGGCGGCCAGGUAGGUCGGUUGUGAAAACUGGAGGCUCAACCUUCAGAGGUCGACCGAAACCAUCUGGCUAGAGUCCGGGAGAGGAGAGUGGAAUUCCUGGUGUAGCGGUGAAAUGCGUAGAUAUUGGGAGGAACACCAGUGGCGAAGGCGGCUCGCUGGACCGGUUCUGACGCUGAGGCGCGAAAGCGUGGGGAGCAAACGGG
rnacentral:rRNA from 1 species